UACGUAGGGUGCGAGCGUUGUCCGGAAUUAUUGGGCGUAAAGAGCUCGUAGGCGGUCUGUCACGUCGGCUGUGAAAACCCGAGGCUCAACCUCGGGCCUGCAGUCGAUACGGGCAAACUCGAGUACUGCAGGGGAGACUGGAAUUCCUGGUGUAGCGGUGAAAUGCGCAGAUAUCAGGAGGAACACCGGUGGCGAAGGCGGGUCUCUGGGCAGUAACUGACGCUGAGGAGCGAAAGCGUGGGGAGCGAACAGG
rnacentral:rRNA from 1 species